UUAACAACUAAGCGUACACGGUGGAUGCCCUGGCAGUCAGAGGCGAUGAAGGGCGUGCUAAUCUGCGAUAAGCGCCGGUAAGGUGAUAUGAACCGUUAUAACCGGCGAUACCCGAAUGGGGAAACCCAGUGUGAUUCGUCACACUAUCAUUAACUGAAUCCAUAGGUUAAUGAGGCGAACCGGGGGAACUGAAACAUCUAAGUACCCCGAGGAAAAGAAAUCAACCGAGAUUCCCCCA
rnacentral:rRNA from 1 species